UAAUACGUAGGCAGCAAGCGUUGUUCGGAGUUACUGGGCGUAAAGGGUGUGUAGGCGGUUGUUUAAGUUUGGUGUGAAAUCUCCCGGCUCAACUGGGAGGGUGCGCCGAAUACUGAAUGACUUCGAGUACGGGAGAGGAAAGUGGAAUUCCUGGUGUAGCGGUGAAAUGCGUAGAUAUCAGGAGGAACACCGGUGGUGUAGACGGCUUUCUGGACCGUAACUGACGCUGAGACACGAAAGCGUGGGUAGCAAACAGGAUUAGAUACCCUGGUAGUCCACGCCCUAAACGAUGCAUAUUUGGUGUGGGCAGUUCAUUCUGUCCGUGCCGGAGCUAACGCGUUAAAUAUGCCGCCUGGGGAGUACAGUCGCAAGGCUG
rnacentral:rRNA from 1 species